rnacentral:rRNA from 1 species
GACAGAGGGUGCAAACGUUGCUCGGAAUUACUGGGCGUAAAGCGCGUGUAGGCGGGCGGGCAAGUCAGAUGUGAAAUCCCCGAGCUCAACUUGGGAACUGCAUUUGAAACUACCUGUCUUGAGUGAUGGAGAGGGCAGCGGAAUUCCCGGUGUAGUGGUGGAAUGCGUAGAUAUCGGGGGGAAUACCAGUGGCGAAAGCGGCACCCUGGCGUCGUACUGACGCUCAUGUGCGAAAGCGUGGGGAGCGAACGGG